rnacentral:rRNA from 1 species
AUUGAACGCUGGCGGCGUGCCUAAUACAUGCAAGUCGAACGGAGUGGCGCACGGGUGAGUAAUAUCUGGCAAACCUGCUCAUUGAUGGAGGACAACAGUUGGAAAGGAAUGCAAAUACUCCAUAGCAAGGGAUGAGACGAUAUGGUAUCAGCUAGUCGGUGGGGUAAUGGCCUACCGAGGCUAUGACGCGUAACUGGUCUGAGAGGAUGAUCAGUCGCAUUGGAAGGGAGGCACGAUCCAGACUCCUUCGGGAGGGAGCAGUAGGGUAUAUUGCCCAAUGGGGGUGCACGAAGCGCGGCAACGCGUCGUGGAGGAUUUCACGUUUCGGAGCGUAAACUCAUUUUGUUAGGGAAGCGUUACCUAACGAAUAAGCACCGGCUAACUCCGUGCCAGCAGCCGCGGUAAUUC